UCUCCUCUUUCGUUUCUAGGGUUUUGCAGAUCUCCUCUUUCGCUCUCCUUACCAUUGAACCAGUAGGAUUCAGAUCUUAAUUCUCAACAACAAUCACAUAAUCUUAUCAAUUUCAUCAAUGGCGAUUUCAAGUGAGUUGUAUCCAAGCCAAGACGAUCUCCUCUGAGAAUAAGAACUCCUCAUAAAUCCCUUCAGUUUGAAGCUAUGGUGGCGAUACUUAAUUGCACGCACUGAAUCUCCGUUCAAGAAGCGAGUCGUGAUCUAUGAACGAGCAUUGAAAGCAUUACCAGGAAGCUACAAGUUAUAGGUACAAGAAGCGAGCCGUGAUCUAUGAACGAGCAUUGGGUGCCAUCGGAGUUCUGCUGGGUGAUGAAAGGGUGGAGGUUACAGUUGUGGUGAUUUGGGUUACAUUUAUGGUUUUAACUUUGAUAAUUAUGGGGGAAUCUGGAACAAUGAACUGGUGCUGAUGAUGAACUUGAUGUAAUUGGAUUUGCGACGGUGGUUUGUGUGGAAGAUGAUUCUAGAUGGUUUAUUUGAAGAUGAAGAUGGAUGGAUAAAGAUGGUUUGAAGAUUGAUUCAUUUGAAGAUGAAGAUGGAGUAUGUAUCUGGGAUGAUGAUGAAUGAACUGAUGAUGAUGAACUUUAACAGAGUACGUAGUGGAGGCUUACGCAGAUAAGGGGACAGAUCUGGUAUUUAAGGAUCCAAAUAUUUAAGGAUCCAAAUAUUUAAGGAUCCAAAGAUAUCUGCAAUACAAACAAUGUGGAUGGAAGUGGAAGCUCAGAUGGAAGUGCAAUACAAACGAAGGCAAAAGAUUCUGCAGAAUAAGUUGCA
rnacentral:lncRNA from 1 species